GACAGAGGAUGCAAGCGUUAUCCGGAAUGAUUGGGCGUAAAGCGUCUGUAGGUGGCUUUUAAGUCCGCCGUCAAUCCCAGGCUCAACCCUGGACAGGCGGUGGAAACUACCAAGCCGGAGUACGGUAGGGGCAGAGGGAAUUUCCGGUGGAGCGGUGAAAUGCGUAGAGAUCGGAAAGAACACCAACGGCGAAAGCACUCUGCUGGGCCGACACUGACACUGAGAGACGAAAGCUAGGGGAGCGAAUGGG
rnacentral:rRNA from 1 species